rnacentral:lncRNA from 10 species
CCUAGAUUGCACCACUGCACUCCAGCCUGGGUGACAGAGAGAGACUCCAUCUCAAAAAAAGAAGAAGAAAAAAAAAACCCAAUAACACACACACUAGAUAACUUAAACUAGAAUACUAAAAAAGAAGUUUAAGUAAACCAAACAAAGGAAAAAAAAAAAGGUGAACUAAAAAUACAGAAAAAAGUAGAAAAUAAAUAAUAAUUAGAAGACCUGAAUCCAAACAUAUCAAUAAUUACAUUACAUGUAAAUGACAUAAACACACCAAUUAAAAGAUAGAGAUUGACAGAAUGAAUUUUAUAAAAAUGACUCAAGUACAUGCUCUCUAUAAGAAACUCUCCUCAAAUAUUAUAGUAUAGGUAGGUUAAAAAGAAAAACUAUGGAAAAAAAAAAAAAAACUGCACAUUGAAGACCCCAACUGAAACAAAACUACUAUGUUAAUAUCAAAGUAGACUUCAGAACAAAGAAAACUACCAGGGUUAAAAAGGGAUAUUACAUAUUGGUAGAAAAGUUAAUUCACUGGUACUGGCAUAACAACAGACACAUAGAACAAUAGAACAUAAUAGAGAACCCAAAUAUAAAUCCACACAUUUAUAACCAACUCAUCUUUGACAAAAGAUCCCAGAAUAUGCAAUAGGGAAAGGACAGUCUUUUCAAUAAAUGGUGCUGAGAAAACUGAACAACUAAAUGCAGAAGAAUGAAACCAGAUCCCUAUCUCUCACUAUACACAAAAAUCAAAUCAAAAAGGAUUAAAGAUUUAAAAGGACUAAAACCUGAAACUAUGAAACUACUAGAAGAAAACAUUGAGGAAAAGCUCCAGGCAAUCAAAGCAAAAAUAGACAACGGAGAUUACAUCAAGUUAAAAAGCUUCUGCACAGCAAAUGAAACAAGGUGAACAGGCAACCUACAAAAUGGGAAAAAAAUAUUUGCAAACUGUCCCUCUGCCAAGAGAGUAAUAACCAGAAUAUAUAAAGAGUUCAAACAACUCAAUAGCAUAAAACAAAUAAUCUGAUUUUAAAAUGGGUGUCUGGGCACUGUGGCUUACACCUAUAAUCCUAGCAUUUUGGGAGGCCAAGGCGAGAGGAUAGCUUGAGCCCAGGAGUUU